rnacentral:rRNA from 1 species
GAGCGGAGAUAUAUGGAGCUUGCUUUAUAUAACUUAGCAGCGAACGGGUGAGUAACACGUAGAUAAUCUAUCCUAUACUGGGGGAUAGCCCGAUGAAAGUUGGAUUAAUACCGCAUAUAGCUAUAUAGUUGCAUGAUUAUGUAGUGAAAGAUUUAUUGGUAUAGGAGGAGUCUGCGGCACAUUAGCUAGUAGGUGAGGUAAAGGCUUACCUAGGCGACGAUGUGUAGCCGGUCUGAGAGGAUGAACGGCCACAAUGGAACUGAGACACGGUCCAUACUCCUACGGGAGGCAGCAGUGGGGAAUAUUGCACAAUGGGGGAAACCCUGAUGCAGCAACGCCGCGUGAGUGAAGAAGGUUUUCGGAUUGUAAAGCUCUGUUAGCAGGGAAGAGGAAGGACGGUACCUGCAGAGGAAGCCACGGCUAACUACGUGCCAGCAGCCGCGGUAAUACGUAGGUGGCAAGCGUUGUUCGGAAUAACUGGGCGUAAAGGAUGCGUAGGCGGUUAAACAAGUUAUAUGUCAAAUAUAUAGGCUUAACCUGUAGAAAGCAUAUAAAACUGUUUAACUAGAGUGCAGGAGAGGUAAGUGGAAUUCCUAGUGUAGCGGUGAAAUGCGUAGAGAUUAGGAAGAACACCAGUGGCGAAGGCGACUUACUGGACUGUAACUGACGCUGAGGCAUGAGAGCAUGGGGAGCAAACAGGAUUAGAUACCCUGGUAGU